rnacentral:rRNA from 1 species
CAGCCGCCGCGGUAAUACGUAGGUGGCAAGCGUUGUCCGGAAUUAUUGGGCGUAAAGGGCUCGCAGGCGGUUUCUUAAGUCUGAUGUGAAAGCCCCCGGCUCAACCGGGGAGGGUCAUUGGAAACUGGGAAACUUGAGUGCAGAAGAGGAGAGUGGAAUUCCACGUGUAGCGGUGAAAUGCGUUGAGAUGUGGAGGAACACCAGUGGCGAAGGCGACUCUCUGGUCUGUAACUGACGCUGAGGAGCGAAAGCGUGGGGAGCGAACAGGAUUAGAUACCCCCGUAGUCCCUGUCUCUUAUAC